rnacentral:misc_RNA from 1 species
GAUGAAGAACGCAGCGAAAUGCGAUAAGUAGUGUGAAUUGCAGAAUUCAGUGAAUCAUCGAAUCUUUGAACGCACAUUGCGCCCCUUGGUAUCCCGAGGGGCAUGUCUGUUCGAGCGUCAUUUCACCACUCAAGCCUGGCUUGGUGUUGGGCGACGUCCUCUUUGGGGACGCGCCUCGAAACGCUCGGCGGCGUGGCACCGGCUUUAAGCGUAGCAGAAUCUUUCGCUUUGGAAGUCGGGGCCCCGUCUGCCGGAAGACCUACUCGCAAGGUUGACCUCGGAUCAGGCAGGGAUACCCGCUGAACUUAAGCAUAUCAAUAAGCGGAGGA